UGAUGUGGUUAAUUCGAUGCAACGCGGAAACUUACCCACCUUUGACAUGUACGGAAUCCUUAGAGAUAGAGGAGUGCUCGAAAGAGAACCGUAACACAGGUGCUGCAUGGCUGUCGUCAGCUCGUGUCGUGAGAUGUUGGGUUAAGUCCCGCAACGAGCGCAACCCUUGUCAUUAGUUGCUACAUUCAGUUGGGCACUCUAAUGAGACUGCCGGUGACAAACCGGAGGAAGGUGGGGAUGACGUCAAGUCCUCAUGGCCCUUAUAGGUGGGGCUACACACGUCAUACAAUGGAUGGUACAAAGGGUCGCCAACCCGCGAGGGGGAGCCAAUCCCAUAAAGCCAUUCGUAGUCCGGAUCGCAGUCUGCAACUCGACUGCGUGAAGUCGGAAUCGCUAGUAAUCGUGGAUCAGCAUGUCGCGGUGAAUACGUUCCCGGGUCUU
rnacentral:rRNA from 1 species